CCUGCACCCCACCGUCGGCCCGUGCGCCACCGCCUCCUCCCUCUAGCACCGCUGUCGGCUCCGACGCCCUCUGCCCCGCCUCCCUCUUCUCCGCUGUCAGUCCUCUCCAUCGUCACCACCGCUGCUGCCGCUGUCACCACCGUCACUGCAAGGUAACCUUUUUUUUUGUGGCUCCAUGGGGAAGGGAAGAGCAAAGGGGUGGGGGGCGC
rnacentral:lncRNA from 1 species